rnacentral:rRNA from 1 species
GAUGAACGCUGGCGGCGUGCCUAAUACAUGCAAGUCGAGCGAACGGACGAGAAGCUUGCUUCUCUGAUGUUAGCGGCGGACGGGUGAGUAACACGUGGAUAACCUACCUAUAAGACUGGGAUAACUUCGGGAAACCGGAGCUAAUACCGGAUAAUAUUUUGAACCGCAUGGUUCAAAAGUGAAAGACGGUCUUGCUGUCACUUAUAGAUGGAUCCGCGCUGCAUUAGCUAGUUGGUAAGGUAACGGCUUACCAAGGCAACGAUGCAUAGCCGACCUGAGAGGGUGAUCGACUAGACGGGAACUGAGACACAGUCCCGACUCCUACGGGGGGCAGCAGUAGAGAAUCUUCCGGAAUGGGCGAGAGCCUGACGGAGCAAAGCCGGGUGAGUGAUGAAGGUCUUCGGAUCGUAAAACUCUGUUAGUCGGGAAGAACAUAUGUGUAAGUAACUGUGCACAUCAUGACGGUACCUAAUCAGAAAGCCACGGCUAACUACGUG